rnacentral:misc_RNA from 1 species
ACAACAGCUAAGCCUUAAUCCCAACUGGUUGUAUGAAUGAUAUUCAUCAUGUGACCGUUGGAUGAUUUAUAAGUUACAUCUUGAAAAAUUGUCUGGCCAAGGCUUUCACUAAUGAAAAUGUUGUCCAGCCAUUUUCAUUUUAAAAGAAAUUGUGAGAUAAGAUACUGAAGUUGCCCAUAAGUCAUGGUCAUGAUUAAGUCUACCAACACUUUUGAGUGAAUUCUUCCUUCUUGUUUCUCAUUGUUUAGUUGUGGUAUCUUUCACUUUAUCACUUAAUGUUCAAUCUUUCUUAAUAAGCAGUUCGGGUUGAGACUGGAGU